CUCUCCCUCUUUCUUCCUGCUUAACACAUGCAAGUCGAGCGGGCAUCCUUGUGGUGUCAGCGGCAGACGGGUGAGUAACGCGUGGGAACGUGCCCUUCGGUUCGGAAUAACUCAGGGAAACUUGAGCUAAUACCGGAUACGUGCGAGAGCAGAAAGGUUUAUCUGCCGAAGGAUCGGCCCGCGUCUGAUUAGCUAGUUGGUGAGGUUAUGGCUCACCAAGGCGACGCUCAGUAGCUGGUCUGAGAGGAUGAUCAGCCACACUGGGACUGAGACACGGCCCAGACUCCUACGGGAGGCAGCAGUGGUGAAUAUUGGACAAUGGGGGCAACCCUGAUCCAGCCAUGCCGCGUGAGUGAUGACGGCCUUAGGGUUGUAAAGCUCUUUUCUCCGGGACGAUAAUGACGGUACCGGAGGAAUAAGCCCCGGCUAACUUCGUG
rnacentral:rRNA from 1 species